rnacentral:lncRNA from 1 species
AACAUCCUCCGGGUUUUCAACAACCACCUUACCAGUAAGAAAAGAAGCCGAACCUUGAGGAGAUGCUAACCAAAUUCAUCUCGGUGUCAGAAACUCAUUUUCAAAAUAUUGAGAUAGCACUUAAGAAUCAACAAGCAUCGAUCCAAGGGCUUGAAACUCAGAUUGGACAGCUUGCCAAGUUGAUUUCUGAACGACUACAAGGUAGCUU